rnacentral:rRNA from 1 species
CCUACGGGGGGCAGCAGUGGGGAAUAUUGCGCAAUGGGCGAAAGCCUGACGCAGCGACGCCGCGUGAGGGAUGAAGGUCUUCGGAUCGUAAACCUCUGUCAGCAGGGAAGAACGGUCACUGUGCUAAUCAGCAGUGAAUUGACGGUACCUGCAAAGGAAGCACCGGCUAACUCCGUGCCAGCAGCCGCGGUAAUACGGAGGGUGCGAGCGUUAAUCGGAAUUACUGGGCGUAAAGCGCUCGUAGGCGGUAUGUCAAGUCAAGGGUGAAAUCCCCGCGCUCAACGUGGGAACUGCCUUUGAAACUGGCAAACUGGAGUGUGUGAGAGGAUAGUGGAAUUCCAGGUGUAGGGGUGAAAUGCGUAGAUAUCUGGAGGAACAUCAGAGGCGAAGGCGACUAUCUGGCACAUAACUGACGCUGAGGAGCGAAAGCGUGGGUAGCAAACAGGAUUAGAUACCCUUGUAGUC